UACAGAGGGGGCAAGCGUUAUUCGGAAUUAUUGGGCGUAAAGGGCGCGUAGGCGGCUUUGCAAGUGACGGGUGAAAGCCCUCGGCUUAACCGAGGAACUGCCUGUCAGACUGUAAGGCUUGAGACCGGGAGAGGUGAGUGGAAUUCCCAGUGUAGCGGUGAAAUGCGUAGAUAUCAGGAGGAACACCUGUGGUGUAGACAGCUUGCUGGACCACUUCUGACGCUGAGACACGAAAGCGUGGGUAGCAAACAGG
rnacentral:rRNA from 1 species